UUGGAUAUAUUGUGGAGGUAAUAUUAUUCAAAGUAUCUAUAACUGGGAUCAGAGUUAAUUGUAUGAUUAACGGGCAAGAGAAGAAUACUUUUCGCUGGCCAGUUACUACCGAGGAGAUAAAUAACCAAACUGAUAAAAUUAUCUGUUUAGUAAAUGCUCCUUUUCUAAUCAGUGGUUGUGGCGAUUAUUCAUUAUCCGAAGAAGACUAUAAUACAGUCAUAUCAUUAUUCUUAGAGAAACUUACUGCAGCAGAGUAGAAAUUAUGUGUGAUAUGGUGGAUAAUGUGUGUAAAUGACUCUAUUAAUAAAUGAAAAACUAAUUUUUAAAUGGAAAAACAUUUAAAUGUUUGAUUUAUGUUUUAUUUAAUUAGCAAUAUAGUUAUCUUGAUGUUA